rnacentral:rRNA from 1 species
UAACGAAUCUUCCGCAAUGCACGAAAGUGUGACGGAGCGACGCCGCGUGCAGGACGAAGCCCUUCGGGGUGUAAACUGCUGAAAGGAUCAAGUAAGACCUGAACUGGUCCCUAUAAGGAGCGACUAACUCUGUGCCAGCAGUCGCGGUAAUACAGAGGCUCCGAGCGUUAGGCGGAAUCACUGGGCUUAAAGCGUGCGUAGGCGGCCGACCAAGUGCCUUGUGAAAGCCCUCGGCUCAACCGAGGAACAGCUUGGCAUACUGGUUGGCUUGAAUCAUCUAGGGGCAACUGGAACUGACGGUGGAGCGGUGAAUGCGUAGAUAUCGUCAGGAACGCCGACGGUGAAACAGGUUGCUGGGGAUGUAUUGACGCUGAUGCACGAAAGCCAGGGUAGCGAACGGGAUUAGAUACCCCGGUAGUCCUGGCCGUAAACGAUGUCCACUAGGCCGUGGUAGGCUUCUGACCCUUUCACGGCCGAAGCAAAAGUGUUAAGUC